AAAGAGUCUUUUCAGCAAGUGGUGCUGGGAAAACUGGACAGCGACUUGCAGAAAAUUAACCUGGCCCACUUUCUUGCACCAUACACAAAAAGAAACAAAAUGGAUGAAAGACCUCAAUGUAACACAGGAAGCCAUCAAAAUCCUCCAUGAGAAAGGAGGCAAAAAUCUCUUUAAUCUUGGCCACAGCAACUUCUUACUCAACACAUUUCUAGGGGCAAGGGAAACAAAUGCAAAAAUGAACUACUGGGACCUCAUCAAAGUAAAAACCUUCUGCACAGCGAA